rnacentral:rRNA from 1 species
UACGUAGGGUGCAAGCGUUGUCCGGAAUUAUUGGGCGUAAAGAGCUCGUAGGCGGUUGAGUAAGUCGGGUGUGAAAACUCUGGGCUUAACCCAGAGCCGCCACCCGAUACUGCUCUGACUUGAGUUCGGUAGGGGAGCAGGGAAUUCCUAGUGUAGCGGUGAAAUGCGCAGAUAUUAGGAGGAACACCGGUGGCGAAGGCGCUGCUCUGGGCCGAUACUGACGCUGAGGAGCGAAGGCGUGGGUAGCAAACAGG